CGGAGCUGCGCCGGGCCGGGUCAGCUGGCUGCCUUUGUGGCUGCUUCCCAGGAAGGAAGAAGCGCUGUCUGCAGAUCAGUUAUCAGCCGGCUUUCCUGCGCCGCAGCGCCGCCGUUUUCCGGGGACGGCUGCCACCCCCGUGAUUCCCAGCCGGGCUGCGCGAACACAUUUCAGACUGGAACUUAACCUGGACAUGGCCUAACCUCUGUAACAUGGAUGGAUGAGUUUUAUAAAGACAUUAAGACCUCCUGAAAUUCUAUAUGUAUAUGUGUACAUAAACACAUAUGUGUCUGUGCAAGAUUCAGCAACAGGAAGCAGGGAUUCCUUCCUGGGCAGGACUCCCAGUGCACCAACUUCAGCCACAUCCAUUGAUGGUUAAACAAAAGUAGCGCAGUUCAAUUUUCAGUCACCAUGGACAGGAACUCUUAGUACUUGCAUGAAGCAUGCGUUUUUAUGCUAGCUCUUUAGGGUACAAAUCUCUUUGUCAGUAUCUGCAUCACAAUCAGUGACUGAUCAUGUCACUUCUUUCCAAAUCUCUCAGUGCAAGAUCACUGUGCCUCUGUCAUUCAGUUCACACACAGACAGCAAAGCAUGCCUUGUCUUCUAGGGAGAGCUCAUGAUGGGGCAUUCCGCAAGAAGGAUAAUCAGUGGAGGGAAGCAGCCAUCAAAACAUGAAAGUGAAGCAAAGGAAUCAAACAUGAAAACAGAGGAAGUGAAAUUCAAGUUGAACAUAAACGGAGUCAAGAAGUUACAGCUCGGUAUAGGAAGGAUGAUUGCUGUUCUAGACUCUACCUGAGCAACCCAAAGAAACUGAAUAAAGGCGAACUUGUAUAAAUAAGGAAGAGAAGAAAGGAAGACGAUGUCUUAGAGGAAGUGAUAUCAACAAAAAAAGUGACAUUAACAGAACACUCAAAGAUACUUCAUGGUAUUGAAAGUGCAAAGGACAAAAUGCUAGAAUUGAACCAAAUUUAGAAAAGUAACUGACAAUUCAUCAAGGUGUAAAACAGAUAUUUGCCCAGUAUUAUAAGUUAUAUGACCAAAAGGCAGGACUGUGUAUAUUUAAUAUAUUUUUCCUGUAUAUUAUGAUGUUCUGACAUCUUAAAAACCUUCCUGGCUCAGAAGAGACUGUCCCUCCUGGACUAGCUGGUCCUGAUAGAAAGGACUCAAUCAGGAGCAUGCUUCUGAUAUGGAAACUACCCAGCUCAGAGCCAGGGCUCCUCUCCAUGGCCCCCCAGCCCCAGGUAGCAAUAUUCCUCUGCCUUAGUCACCCGAGGGCCAUCACCAGGCAAGCGGACCCCAUAGCAUAAAACCAGCUGAAAUUAUUCAAACUAGCCAACUGGAAGUUUUCACCCUCCCUGCCUUCCUUUCCUUCAGAAAUCACAAUAAAGGCUCUGACCUAAACCUUG